UAGGGAAUCUUCCACAAUGGACGCAAGUCUGAUGGAGCAACGCCGCGUGAGUGAAGAAGGCUUUCGGGUCGUAAAACUCUGUUAUUGAAGAAGAACGUGUGUGACAGUAACUGGUCAUGCAGUGACGGUAUUCAAUCAGAAAGUCACGGCUAACUACGUGCCAGCAGCCGCGGUAAUACGUAGGUGGCAAGCGUUGUCCGGAUUUAUUGGGCGUAAAGCGAGUGCAGGCGGUCUUUUAAGUCUGAUGUGAAAGCCUUCGGCUUAACCGAAGAAGGGCAUCGGAAACUGGGAGACUUGAGUGCAGAAGAGGAGAGUGGAACUCCAUGUGUAGCGGUGAAAUGCGUAGAUAUAUGGAAGAACACCAGUGGCGAAGGCGGCUCUCUGGUCUGUAACUGACGCUGAGGCUCGAAAAGCGUGGGGUAGCA
rnacentral:rRNA from 1 species